GGGUUGGAUUCCUAAAUGACUGCAAAGCUCUAAAAAAGCCUUCAAGCCCACGGUUAUGACAAACGGCUUCAACGAGUGUGCAGUAGACGGAUUCCUUCCACCAUUUACCAUUCCAGUAAUGAAUUUGCUUUGUUCUUAUUUGUUUUCUCUUUGAUUACCUUUUGAUUCCUUGCAAUCUUUUUUAUCUUCUUUUAAAUUUCUACUUGUUUCUACAUCUAUUGCAAUACUCACCGGAGUGUUGUUUCU
rnacentral:lncRNA from 1 species